rnacentral:ncRNA from 1 species
GUGCAAGCGCACACCGCUGAACGGUGAAGCCGCGAAUGGCUCAUUACAGCAGUCAUUGUUCGCAAGAACUGAUGUCCACUUGGAUAACUGUGGAAAUUCUAGAGCUAAUACAUGCCUCGAAGCUCGGUCGCGCGCAACGCGUCGGAGCGCAUUUAUUAGAACAAAACCAAUCGGACGCAGGCUAUCUAUUGGUCUGGGUCCGCGAAAGGUUGGUGAAUCGGAAUAACUAUGCUGAUCGCACGGUCCAGCACCGGCGACGAAUCUUUGAAAUGACUUGCUCAUCAACUUUCGAUGGUACGCUUCAUGUCUCCAUAUUUUCUUAACUUAUGGAC